rfam:Vanderwaltozyma polyspora DSM 70294 KpolScaffold1069 genomic scaffold, whole genome shotgun sequence.
GGUCCUAUAGUGUAGUGGUUAUCACCGUCGGUUCUGAUCCGACUAACCCCAGUUCGAAUCCGGGUAGGACCU